rnacentral:rRNA from 1 species
UAGGGAAUCUUCCACAAUGGACGGAAAGUCUGAUGGAGCAACGCCGCGUGAGUGAAGAAGGGUUUCGGCUCGUAAAACUCUGUUGUUAAAGAAGAACAUAUCUGAGAGUAACUGUUCAGGUAUUGACGGUAUUUAACCAGAAAGCCACGGCUAACUACGCGCCAG